rnacentral:rRNA from 1 species
CCUGGUAGUCCACACAGUAAACGAUGAAUACUCGCUGUUUGCGAUAUACAGUAAGCGGCCAAGCGAAAGCAUUAAGUAUUCCACCUGGGGAGUACGCCGGCAACGGUGAAACUCAAAGGAAUUGACGGGGGCCCGCACAAGCGGAGGAACAUGUGGUUUAAUUCGAUGAUACGCGAGGAACCUUACCCGGGCUUGAAUUGCAGAGGAACAUAGUUGAAAGAUUAUGGCCGCAAGGUCUCUGUGAAGGUGCUGCAUGGUUGUCGUCAGCUCGUGCCGUGAGGUGUCGGCUUAAGUGCCAUAACGAGCGCAACCCUUAUCAUUAGUUACUAACAGGUCAUGCUGAGGACUCUAGUGAGACUGCCGUCGUAAGAUGUGAGGAAGGUGGGGAUGACGUCAAAUCAGCACGGCCCUUACGUCCGGGGCUACACACGUGUUACAAUGGGGGGUACAGAGGGCAGCUACCGGGCGACCGGAUGCCAAUCCCAAAAACCUCUCUCAGUUCGGAUCGAAGUCUGCAACCCGACUUCGUGAAGCUGGAUUCGCUAGUAAUCGCGCAUCAGCCACGGCGCGGUGAAUACGUUCCCGGGCCUUGUACACACCGCCCGUCAAGCCAUGGGAGCCGGGGGUACCUGAAGUACGUAACCGCAAGGAGCGUCCUAGGGUAAAACUGGUGACUGGGGCUAAGUCGUAACAAGGUAAC